CAUCAGUUGGCGAGAGAAAGGCACUGAAGAAAUUUUCAGAUUCAUCGACCACAGUCCUCCGAACUGGCUUUGUGAUUGCUUUAGGAGAGGCUAUUGGUGGACUCUGAGGUUCAGUGUUUGAUUUCAACCCCCAGGUUGAAGUAUCCCAUCCGCCACUGACAGGGGAACUUAUUCCUUUGACAAAAAAGUAAAUAUUAAAAAAGAACACAUAUAUGUUACAUUAAUAUUUCAAUCAUCAUUAUAAAUCAGUAUAAAUAUAAAUUUAGAAAAAAUACCCUAUGAAAUACCUGUAAUUUGCACCUGCUAAACUCCUUGCUUACUACAUCAUUAAGUAGUUUCCAAGUUAAUACAGGGACUUACAGAAGAAAACUGGUGUGGGUCCACCUGAGAGGAAGGAGGAGCACAGACAAAAGACUGGGCCUGGCCUGGACUACCAGAUGCGAGGUGGCUGUGAUGGCUGGAGAUUUCAUUUGCCUAAAGAUUAUGAUGAGAGAGAAGUAUCAAACAUAAUUUUUAUCAAAAGAUAAUUUUUUUAAGGUUUCAAAAAUCACAAAAAUGAUUUUUACAACAUAACAAAAAUCUACAAUACUUACAGAGAAGCACUAUUGGUUAGAUAAUCCAAAACCUCCUGUAGUUUAGCUGAUGGAGAAAA
rnacentral:antisense_RNA from 1 species